rnacentral:piRNA from 1 species
UACUGUGGAAAUAUUAAGUGCCUCGAC